rnacentral:rRNA from 1 species
UGACCUCAGCUCAGUCGUGAUUACCCGCUGAAUUUAAGCAUAUAAUUAAGCGGAGGAAAAGAAACUAACGAGGAUUCCCAUAGUAACGGCGAGUGAAAGGGGAAGAGCCCAGCGCUGAAUCCAUCGAUCACUGGUCGCUUGGAAUUGUAGCGUAUAGGUGCGGCUAUCCGCUCGUUUCGUGCACCCAAAGUCCCCUUGAGCGGGGCCAUAGUCCAAAGAAGGUGCUAGACCUGUACGGGUGGCGAGGCGGUCGGUUGGUCGCUCCUUGGAGUCGGGUUGCCUGGGAUCGCAGCCCAAAGUUGGUGGUAGACCUCAUCUAAGGCUAAAUAUGGCCACGAAACCGAUAGCAAACAAGUACCGUGAGGGAAAGUUGCAAAGAACUUUGAAGAGAGAGUUCAAGAGGGCGUGAAACCGCCGAGAUUGAAACGGAUAGAGUUGACGAAACUCGAUCGCAUUCAUCCGAUCCGCCUAGCGGUUCGGCGGUUGUUGACUUCCUCGAUGAGGGCAACGCCGUCGCUGGCUGUUGGGUGUUAGAUUGGUGUAUUUGCGGUCGGUAUGCGCCGAGAGCUUUGCGAGCGCAUGUUGACGUUGAUGUAGUGGACCACUCCCUCCGGGCGUGGAACCCUGCAUUGAUUGAGGCAUGUCGUUCGUAGGGUGUUGCUGGGUGACGUCUCCGCUAUGGUGGGUCGGCUUUGUUGGGCUGUUGCGGUUGCUGGGUGAUCGCAUGCGAGCGCCUGCAGCUUGCGAUGGUACGAUGAGGUGCGGACGCGCUUGAGACGUGCAUCUCGGUGUGAACGUUGACCACCUAUCCGACCCGUCUUGAAACACGGACCAAGGAGUCUAGCAUAUGCGCGAGUCAUUGGGUGGUAAACCUAAAGGCGUAAUGAAAGUAAAGGUCGUCUUGUUACGGCUGAUAUGGGAUCUGUGCGGUUUUCGAGCCACGCAGCGCACCAUAGCCCCGUCCCGGUUGCUUGCAAUGGGGCGGAGGUAGAGCGCAUACGCUGGGACCCGAAAGAUGGUGAACUAUGCCUGAGCAGGAUGAAGCCAGAGGAAACUCUGGUGGAAGUCCGAAGCGGUUCUGACGUGCAAAUCGAUCGUCUGACUUGGGUAUAGGGGCGAAAGACUAAUCGAACCAUCUAGUAGCUGGUUCCCUCUGAAGUUUCCCCCAGGAUAGCUGGAGUUUAUUGCUGGCAGUUAUAUUCGGUAAAGCGAAUGAUUAGAGGAAUUGGGGACGAAACGACCUCAACCUAUUCUCAAACUUUCAAUGGGUAUGAAGUCCCGCUUGCUUGACGUUGCUGAAGCGAGGACAUUGAAUGUGAGCUCCAAGUGGGCCAUUUUUGGUAAGCA